rnacentral:rRNA from 1 species
UGGGGAAUUUUGGACAAUGGGGGAAACCCUGAUCCAGCCAUCCCGCGUGUGCGAUGAAGGCCUUCGGGUUGUAAAGCACUUUUGGCAGGAAAGAAACGUCAUGGGUUAAUACCCCGUGAAACUGACGGUACCUGCAGAAUAAGCACCGGCUAACUACGUGCCAGCAGCCGCGGUAAUACGUAGGGUGCAAGCGUUAAUCGGAAUUACUGGGCGUAAAGCGUGCGCAGGCGGUUCGGAAAGAAAGAUGUGAAAUCCCAGGGCUCAACUUUGGAACUGCAUUUUUAACUACCGGGCUAGAGUGUGUCAUAGGGAGGUGGAAUUCCGCGUGUAGCAGUGAAAUGCGUAGAUAUGCGGAGGAACACCGAUGGCGAAGGCAGCCUCCUGGGAUAACACUGACGCUCAUGCACGAAAGCGUGGGGAGCAAACAGG